rnacentral:rRNA from 1 species
UACGUAGGGUGCAAGCGUUGUCCGGAAUUAUUGGGCGUAAAGAGCUCGUAGGCGGCUUGUCGCGUCGGCUGUGAAAACUCGGGGCUCAACCCCGAGCCUGCAGUCGAUACGGGCAGGCUAGAGUCCGGCAGGGGAGACUGGAAUUCCUGGUGUAGCGGUGAAAUGCGCAGAUAUCAGGAGGAACACCGGUGGCGAAGGCGACUACCUGGCCUGUUCUUGACGCUGAGGCGCGAAAGCUAGGGGAGCAAACGGG